UCAAAGAUUAAGCCAUGCAUGUCUAAGUCUUAAACAAUCUAUACUGUGAAACUGCGAAUGGCUCAUUAAAUCAGUUAUCGUUUAUUUGAUAGUACCUUACUGCUUGGAUAACCGUGGUAAUUCUAGAGCUAAUACAUGCCAAAAACCCCGACUUCGGAAGGGGUGUAUUUAUUAGAUAAAAAACCAAUGCCUCCGGGGCUCCUUGGUGAAUCAUAAUAACUUAACGAAUCGCAUGGCCUUGAGCCGGCGAUGGUUCAUUCAAAUUUCUGCCCUAUCAACUUUCGAUGGUAGGAUAGUGGCCUACCAUGGUUUCAACGGGUAACGGGGAAUUAGGGUUCGACUCCGGAGAGGGAGCCUGAGAAACGGSUACCACAUCCAAGGAAGGCAGCAGGCGCGCAAAUUACCCAAUCCCGACACGGGGAGGUAUGAC
rnacentral:rRNA from 1 species